rnacentral:lncRNA from 1 species
CUUUUCUUCUCUUCCUCCCCCGGUUCUGGUUCAGGAAUGGGUCAACGCAAGGAUCUUAUUUCGAAGCAAUCUCUGGAGUUUUCCCUUAUCCAAACGGGUCUUGCAAGAAAAUAUGAUUUCAUAUUGAGCUCCAAAUAUACGCUAUCGGGAUUGGAUGGCUCCUAAUAGCUCUCCCCCCAAGAACCGCACGUGCGAGUUCCCCUGCAUACGGCUCAAGUGGCGAAGGCCAUUUCCUUCGCGCUUGGUAAGCACUUCGCUGUAGCCAAGCUUACUGCUAGCCUAUCGGCUAGAGCCAAUCUUCGACCGUGACUGCUCGUCGCUUCUGGCCGCCUUAUUCCAUCACCCGAGAUCCAAGUCAGCACCGGCAAAGAUCUCUUGAUUCCUCCCGGCCGGGACGGCUUGGAAGCAAGCUACCUCUUGCCUAUCUCACCUCCUUCCUUCAACUGGGUGAGCCUUCGCAUUAUGGAUCGUCUUCUACCCAAUGCGGUACCCCCUAUUUUUUGGUUGCCAUUGGGUUUACCUUGUUCAAAGGUUGACCCAAUGGAAUCAAGAAAAGGCAAUCUUGUGCUAUACUUCGGUGAUCUCUUUCCUAACGAGACAUGCAAACUCCCAUCGUUUCCCAGAUCACAUUCCGUGAAUCGAAAGGGGAAGCCUACAUAUCUAUCAGCUCCUAUUGUAGAUUGGUGCGGUUUUACGAAGGCUCUUACUAAAGUAAAGGAAGGGAAGAAUUGGUCUGAACCUCUUUCUUCUCUUCUUAUGAUUGUUCCGUGAUGGGUUUUCUCCUUAUAGGAUUAGGUUUCUAUCCCCGUGUUAUGCUAAGCUCAUUUCUCUUAUUAGGUCCUACCUUUUUUACAAUGUGGACAUUCCAAUUGCAUACCAUGCAAGUCAUUCAUUAUCCACACAUGUCAUACAUCUUUCAUAUAGGAUGAUUUUAGAAAGCACCUAAGUGUUGGACAUUUGCAUGAUACAGGUAAACCAUAGCCUAGAAAGAAGCAGGAAAAUUGCUCUAGGUUAAAAUAGAACCUACCUGGGAAAAUGACUUUAGAAAACGAUUACUGCAGAUCGACAUUGGAGGUGGCCCAAACCUAGGCUGUGAAGCUUCCUGUUGAGUACAUAAUGUUUACUUGAAGUUCAUUUACACUAUACGAAAAAAACUAUUCUAUAGAAUGUGACUCAGGAACUCAGACUGUGACAACUAUUUUCACUAGUUUCAAAGGCUUGAUUGACCCUUGGGACAUCUAUCCAUCCCGCAAUUCCAAUCAAUCGAUUCAUUGAGUAACUCUUGGGGUAAACUCUUAAGCGAAUAAGAGCUAUAUCGUCUAACUUCAUUUAAAAUUGCAUGAUGUUCCCCUUGCGGGGGAACUAUCAAUAGCGAUUGUUACUCCUUAUGCCUGGUUCCGAUCAAAUCUCCCUUCAGAGCUACCGGGAGCAAUCAAUGAAUUCCGGCGAAAUAGAAGAUCCACGUGACCAAAUUUUUCCUGUUAAAAGAGGAAUGCAUCAACAUAACUUCCCUCCGACAUAUUACUGAGUUUCCCCCUCAUCUUUUUGCCAAAAGCCUCUCCACGGUGGUAAAGUCUCAUCUUGUGUUUUGACCGUAGUAACAAUAGUAAUAUUGAACCCUCAAAUAUGUUCAAAGAUCUCGAUAUGAUCUUCCAGUUCAGGUGAGAAUUCGCAAAAUUCCGUUUACAUCGAGAUUUGAAUUAACCUUUCCCUUAUUUCGAAUGGAGAAUCUAACAGAGACAUUACUGUGGAUAGUCAAACCAAAAAAUUAGACAUUCCAUGCCUAGAGAGUUUUUUGUCGUGAUAAGUCACUGACAUAUCCUUUUUGUUCUUUAUUUGACCCGAAGAAUGGAUUGGAUCGAAAUGACUUUCCUGUUGAAGCCCUUUGUGUCUGUAUUAAUUUCUUACCGCACGGAAUCUCCAUAGCCAUUUUUCCAUUUUUGAUAGAAGGUACUGUUUUUGGUACUACUAUUAUUUUACACGAUCCAGGAACUUCGAUAACGUUGGCGUGAUUUGGUUUGAGCAACAGAUCCUGACGUGGGAUAUUUUCCUAAUGAAAAUAGAGUGGAAACAUGAGUUGAUCCAUAAUGAGUAUUAGAUUGAAGUUCUCUUAAAGAAGACCGCCAACUCCUAUCCCGAAGAUAGAAAGCGCCCGGUCCUCUUCUCUUGUGUCGAAGUGUAGUGUAGUGUGGUGAGGUUUUGCCUCACAGAAAGAGUGGGAGAAAAAAACGAAGAAUUUCGAAUCUAAUGAGUAUUAGAUUGAAGUUCUCUUAAAGAAGACCACCAACUCCUAUCCCGAAGGUACAAAGCGAUUCUAUGCCAACACGAGUAGUUUAACUCAUCACUACCUCGUAAGGGCGUUGAGAAUUGUUUCCAACUUGUUGAAGAUCUAGUGGUGCUACCCGAAGACUUAAAUGAAUAGCCAUCGCUCUUCUGUUAACAUGAACAUGAACUAGAUUCUAUUCUAAUUCUUUAUUCUUAAGAGAAUCCCCCACCCGAACUAUUCUUAAGACCACCAAGCUCUCUCGAAUGAAUUCUACUAUUUCUGCUUUCGAGCUACACCAGGGGCAAAAUCUUUUCCCCACUAAGACGUGCAUCUUUAUGGAUAUAUCUUCCUGAAGGCGGAUGCGACAGGAAGAAGUGGCAUUUGGAAGUGUUGCUUACUUAACAUUUAGGUUUUGGCAUAACAAAGCUUGCACUGUCUUUUCGCACUUAGGCGCACAGCUUUCCCAAUGGCGAAAACUUAAAAUCCAUGGUUUCCUGGUAAAACCCUAUUUCGCCCAAGUUGUUCCGAAAUCAAAAAAAAGAACCUGAACCCUGUCUAUGAGCAUAGCAAUCCUUUGAAUCUUUCCUAAUCCGCUUUCUCUUUUUCUUAUGCAUUGGGAACCUAGUCUUUAGGAGAAGCAGUUGCUCACUCGUGACAAUGGAUGUCUGCUUAUGUCAAACUAUCCUCAAUCUCUUUCCCCUAAUGAUAGGAUUUUUUUCAUUCCUUCACCUUCGACCCAAGCAAAAGGAUUUCUAUUCAGUUUAUCAACUUUACCGGGCAUGGAAGCACUCAAGCUAAAGCAAAUGCACCUAAUGAAUGGCUACUGGCAAUUGAUCCUGCAAGACCCUAGACUCGCUCUAAGUCCCUCCCUCUGAUGCCCAUGAUUCUUCCUAUUCAAAUUUAGCUAUGCUAAUGGAAGAGGAAAAGUUUUUGGUCCAUUUUCGUUCUCUUCCCUACCCGGGAAGGGGGAUCAAAGAAAGGUAGCUUGCUUAUCUCCUUGACGCUAUACUGACAGUUCACUGGAUGGGAUAGCAGAGACAGAAAGGAAAAGAAGUAGUUCCGAAAGGAGACUCCACCUAGCUAGUGCGCUCCUCACCUCAAUGCUACACUUCGGCAGCUACGAACUAAGACGCUUCAGAAGAAAAGCUACAUCCACUACCCGCAUUCACCCUGAUAGGCUACGCCGAGCUUACCCAUGGCCUUACUGCCCGAUUUUGAUUUCUGUCCCCGCGGGAGACAUCGUAAAUAGUUAAAUGUUUGAUUCCCCUAUUGAAUUAGGAAUCGAUUGAAUGGGACUUGCCUAUCCCUUAUUCAUAUCCGAUUUUUCUCUCUUUCUUUUUGAUACUUGGUUGGCAGGGUCAGGGCCUUUCUUACUGGGCGAGCUAAUCCGUAUCAUUCAAUGUUAAUGUGACCUUAACAGCCUUUAUUUUAAGCAAUUAUUCGCUCCAAGACGCACGGCAAGACCUUCGGUCUCUCUCUCUCUCCAUAGAAGCAAGCCUUUUUUUACCGGGGUUCCCUCUUUAUGGUUAAAAUCAAAUGCCAACGUGCUUGAAACAUAAAGUUUGAAGUGGGAUCUAGCCUUUGGUCUUAGUUAAGAGUUUUGCUACUAAUUGUGGUCAGAUGGGGCAUAAUCAAAGAAUUUGUACCUAUCAAAUUAAAGAAAAUAGAGUUCUUCCUUCUAGGCUUCUUCCUUAAUCAAGAAAAGCCUUUAUGUGUGAUGCUUCAAUGACUUAGAAAUCGGUGGCUUUGGUUAGGUGGAUCAAGCCACCACUGCUUUUUGUCAAGCUUAAUAGUAGAUCUCGGCAGAGGGUUCAAGAAUAGUGUAGGGUCCUGUCCUUAAGAUUCAGAUAAGAAGUGCUUGCCAUGCGAAGAGAGCUCUCACCUUGACGAGAGGAUUGGCAGGACGAAGAUCCUGAACAACCUCUGAAUCCGGUUUUCUCAUUAGGAUAGGAGGGAAAUCGGCAGCUUGACGGGGAUCUUGCACGCUCGCCCGAUUAGAAGAUGGAGCUGACCUCGCUGCUGACCUGGGAGCAGGAUUGCUACCGGUGGAAAGCAUAAAGCCGCCCAGUUUCAGUCUAAAUGAUUUGGUAGUUGGAAAAAGGCGUCCCAACCCGUUCAUUUCAUGAAGAUGGACACUGGCUUGGGUGCGGGCGCCUAGUCUAAGCCACGCUAUGAGAACUGACAAGCCUAAGGGCUAGUAGUAAGGCAUUGGGGAUCGUAGACCACUAAGGAGAGAGGCCAGUAAAUAGCACAAUACUUCUUUGUAUUCUCCGCUAUUUGAAUAUCUUUCGGAACCAUACAUCCUACAGCUAACAUGUGUCCAGUUCACAAUCACAUGAACUGUUCAACCCAUCUGAAUGAAAUGCAGGAAUAUACCCUAGACAAUGGAAGAAGUCUUGGUGUGAAUGAGAAAUAUAAGUUUCCUAUUUUCAUAUGAAUCAAUGGGAUUAUUUCAAAUUGUUCAAGUGGGCUGGAGACGAGAUCUUUCGAUAGAUCCACCGCAUCUUUAAACUCUUCUCCCCCUACUCCGUUUUGCUGCAAAUCUAUCAUCUUGUCAGGAAUUGCUUUAAAAUUGGGAACCUACGAGCUUUUAAGAAUUUCAAUACCCAUGUUUCCCAUAGAGAUGUGAGAAGUUUUUCUUUCGCUAUUGAGUGACCGUCCUGUUAGCAGUGCCAUACUAGAUUGGCAUUCAAUCUAUCGAUUUAAUUUCUUCUCAAACUGACCUAUUACGCACUUGCUGGUUGCUCCGUUAUAUGCAUGCUAAUGGGGCAAGCUCAGACCUCGGCUGUGAAACUAAUGUUUUUAAGUUUCUUCCUUAGGAUGAUAGUUUAUAUAAAUAGACCUAUUUGCCGAAACGUAGCUUUCUUUCAUAUAUAGAAUUCUCUUUGAUUGCUUUUUAUGAAGUCGCACCGGGAGCUAGUGCUUCCUAUCUAAGAAUUGCUCUAUGGAUCUCAUCAUAAAUGUUUGAUGCUUCUUGGGGAUUCUUUGGCGACCAAGGGAAUUUGCCUCAACAAAACAAGUUUUUAUUUUCAGAAAGAUCCCCACGCUGAGGGAUGAACCUUGCCGGAAAAUACUUCUCUUCAUCACGAGACUAAUUGGAUCUGCCAUAGACACCUGAGCGAUCUUCACAAGGCAGGCUAAAAUAAAAGACUAGGAGGCGCUGGUCUAAUCCUUUUGCCGCUGCAAGGCUGGAAGGUUCGAGCAUGAUGGCGGUUAGUCUUCCUCGUCUCUUUCGGGUGGGCGGCAGGAAUAGAUCUUCUAGAAUCAGUAUUCAGGCAGUGGCCGUAUAGUCUUUGGUUCAUUGGAUGGUCGGUGCAAGGCCAGAAAUUGGAACACAUUGAUUCCGCUUGUUCCCGUCCUUUGCUUCAGGGCCUGUCCCUCUGUGUGGUCAGUCUAAAUUCGUCUCGCUGCCGGCUAUGGUUUGGACCUUUUGCCUCUCCUUUGUCUCAAUGUUUAUCUCGUAAUCAUUCGAUUCUGCCCCUAACGCUAGCUCCUACUCCCCAGCCGGGGUGAUAGACCACCGCAUGGCCGAUAUGAUUACCAGCCAAUGAGAAAUUUCCACUGGAUUUAUUGUUCGAUAUCGCGGAGAGAAGGGAAUGCGUCGAGGCGGCGCACAAGACAACUACAUUUUGGAUUUUCCCUCCAUGAGAUGAGCCAAGUGCAUUGGACCAAUGGAGAUAAUGGCUAUUCAGUUAUCUGCUGAAAUCUGUGUGCAUAAAGGCUGGAUUGGUUUCCCCACCUUAAAGAACCGAGCAUUUUAAGGGUCACUUACUUUUUCUUUUGUCGAUUUCAAAUGGGUUUGGUUGGUAUAAUAGCAAAUAGGAAUAUUCGCCCCCUUCUUUAGUGCUUGUUCAUUAUAUAAGACUUCCUUCCCGUUCUCGGUGAAGGAAUCGGAGUUGCUAUAGAAUCAGCAUCUUACUCUUUAACGGCAAGCUCAGCAACGAGAAUUUUUCCUCUGCUGGAAAGCAGUCCUUCACAGAUAUGGGAGCUUACUCUACAGUUGCUGAGAAGUUGAUGAAAUAGUGAGUUAAAUGAGAGGAUAGAGUCAAAGGCGAGCUAAUGAGCUUCUCAGUCAAUGAAUAGCUUCCCUUGAUGUGAGAAGAACUAUCUAUUUGAAUGAUUAAGAAAGUGGCCCUCCAUUCCUGCUUUAAAGAGUAGAUUGAAGAGCUUAUUUAUUCUCCUACUACUCCUCCCGGCCCUGUCCCGCAGCCGGCCAAUCUGCUGCCUUAACAUUAGAAAGAUCAUUUUUGUUCAACGCAAAGGGUUAACAGUUGAUAGGCAAGUCAAGCGGUAAAUCAGUAAAUCAACUAAGAAAGGCACUAAUAGCUAUUCAUUCACCAACAACAGCAGCAAGGCAAAGUGGAAGGAGAAAAGAAAGAAGGAUCAAGUCGAGUGUAGUUAGAAAUAGACAAGAGCAUUCCAUGGAAUAGGCCUACGAGAGGUAUUCAACAAGCGCCACUCAACCGCGCAAACUAAGCCCUCCAUAGAAGUUCAAGAAAGUAAAGCUACAUACUACUGGAAAGAUAUGGGCUUUCUCCUUUCUAUUUCUUGCGGGCUAUCGAUUUCGGGUUGGGACUUUGCCUUUUUUUGUUAAAAACUUAUUCAAAAGUAUUCAAAGAGCCUUUGCAUAGUUUAUGAAUUCUACUUAGUAGGGACCUAAACAAAGGAAUGUUUUCUUCUCAGAGUCAGACCAUGCCUAUUAACAAAAGGGGGAGAAAGGACGGAUCACCUGUCGAUCUUGAUCAAAGAAAACAUCCGAGUCCCCACAUCCGCUUUUCUCCGCCCGCAACCCAAUAAGUUGGCAAAGCAAACAAAAGAUUAGGGUCAUCCCCUUCAUUCAAUGCUGACCUCUGCCCGGGCUGGCUUCUUGGGAAGCCUGUUCCCACCGUGCUCACGGCCUAGCUGGCUUGCCAGCGGUAGUGGGAAUUAUCCCUUUCCCUGGUCAAAGACUUGGUUGGAUGUGGUAUCUACUCCACGAGGAGCGGUAUAGACCUAGAUGAUAUCAUCACGACCCCUCUUUUUGUACCGCUAGGGAUGCUUAAUGCCACUUCGCCAACUGGCGUUACCUGCGCUUUCGUGUCUCUCAGUGUGGUCAACACUGGGUGUUUCCGAGCAGCGAGGCUUACACCCAUUUGCAUUAGUUCAUCCAAAGUUCCUUACCCUUAUGCAUGAAUUAUUAAAUAAGUCAUCUUCCUAUCAAGGUUAAGGAGUCAACUUAGCAUCUCGGCGGCGGGAUUGAAUACCCAGAUCGAAUUAAAGUUCACGCCGCCCACCUUAUGCCACCGGUGACCGCCCUGUCUUUCUAGUAUCUAGUACUAGGACUAGUAGAGUAGAGGCACUACUGGGCGGGGCUUCCUCGAAGCUUUUUGAAUCAAUAAAGGAAGCCUAUUGAAUUGGGAAUAGAAGGGUAAUGGGAAUAUGUCAAUGAACUUAAAGCAGUGGACAAAAGGGGGGCGGCAGUCCCCUGGACAUGGUCCUUUCAGGCAGUGGCCAUUUAGUCCAUAGUCCAUAGGAUGGUCGGUGCAAGGCCAGAAAUUGGAACAUAUUGAUUCUGCUCGUUCCCGUCAUUCGCUUCAGGGCAUCAUAUUAUCCGAAUAAACAGAAAAUACCAAAAAGUCGCCCAACCUCUACAAGGUGCUGCUCGCUUUAUCUCAGCCACUAGUGGCUUAUCUAGUUGUCGGCAUUCCUACUUGCUCCUCCUUGCCCCCUACUUAAGAAUCCAAAGGUCACCUUUGGAUGUUGUCAUGACGCUUUGGUUAUGAAGGUUGCAUCCGGUCUAAGUUUAUGGAUGGAUUCAGUCAGCUAACUCCAAAGGAAGGGAGUCUUCUCAAAGCUGUCUAAGUCUUGUAAGGCUAGUAUAUCUAUAUAGAGAGAGGUCAUGGUAUGGAUGGAGGAUUUCUACACGCAACAGCAUGGUUGGAGCAUUCCUCCUUCUUUUAAAAGAAGACUAGAGGACGAAAGAAGAAUCUCUUACAUCGGAUAAAGCCUAAUUUCACUGUCCUUUGAAGAUUUGAAGAUAGUGAAGGCCGACUUCCUUUUUAAAGAUCACUCCACGAUGUGGCAAAUCCCCUUUUUUUAGUAGACUAGGCUAAGGGACGGACUUCAUCUCUUCUAUUUUCUUCACUUACACCUUACACUUCAGCUGAGUCUAACGAGGCUCAGGUGCGGAGCCUUCCACUGUGGACCGAGACUACGCAAAGGUAGAACACCAUGGAAACUUUGUCUAACGAGGCUUAGGUGUGGAGCCUUCCACUAUGGACCGAGAAUAUGCAAAGGCAGAACACCAUGGAAACUUCGCUGACUUUAUCAUCAACGUUGAUUUCACUAUGCUCAAUAAGAACCUGGAAUAGCGGAAAUAGAUUCAAACGCCUCUCUAAGAGAAAAACUGUUUCUUCUCGAUAGGGAAGCCCCAUAAAAUUCUUUUUUCAUUGUUUGAUACAAAAGAAAUCCCAUUUAUUUUUUGGUUGCCCCGUAAUGCGUGAAUUAGUGACCUUUUCUGGAAGAUUGAGAAUAUGAAGGUUAGCCCCUCGGCGCUUGGGAGGCAUCCUAUUUAAUAAAGAUUCUUCCUCUAGUUGAAUAGAGUAUUAGUCAGCUCCAUUAUAUUCCCCAUUAUUCUAGUUUCUCUCUAUUCGAAAUAUCAUAAGAGAAGAAAGCUGGCAGGUUGGAUCCUAGGGUAGAUUCUUGCUGUUGAAUGAUCGGGCGGCGAAAGCAUACAAAGAUAGUGAGGCUUCCAUCGCUUAGAUUUAGGCGAUAGGGCGCUCCACAGAUACGAUAAGAAGCACCCCUCAAUCAAUAGGUCAAUGAUUGAAAGAUAGUACCAGUAACAUCUCUAAUCUUUGAGAAAAUCGGGGUCUUUUCCACAUAAUAGCGUCAACCAAAGACCGAAGCAACUUUGCAGACACUAAAGAGAAAUACCUAGUAACUUCGUCGCUAAAAAACUAUUUGGAAAACUCCAAAACAUGACUGAUUUUAAUAUGAAUUGACUCCGCUUUGGUCACUAGCUCCGUAGGUCCCUAAGAAUCUUCUCUCGUCACUACCUCUCACCCAGUGGGAAGUAAUGAGGCUAGUCUCCCCCCUCCCCUCUGAAUGAAGAAGUAGUGGGGCCCCGGACUUCAUAUUCAUCAUUUUUGAAAGCGAAGGGAAGGUUCUUCCCCUCUACUUUAUUUGAAAGUGGCGGAGAAUACCACUCUAUCAAUAAUAAGAAAAAAGUAACAAUUCUGUUUCAAAUGGUUUGAGUUGUCUCCACUAGCAUCAUUUGAAGAAAGAACAAGAAAAGGUUUACUGUUUAGGAUAGAUGGAUGUGCCCAAUGGCUAUAGCUCUUCCAGCUUACUUAACAGGGUCCUUAGUUGAAUACCGAUCAAAAUUGCUUGAACUACCUCCUCCCGACAUGAAGGAAUGCGCAAUAAUCAUUCGGGGGCUCCCAAGCCUAAUGAAUGGAAAAUGUCGCUAGAUUUACCGGAUAAUCAAGUUGUACCAGAAUGUCUAUGAUCCCAUAUUAAGGAACCCUUGUCGCAGCCCUCAAGAAGCUGGAAAGUACCCAUGUGGCACACCAUCCACAAGCACUCCAAAGCGAAGCAUAAAAUGUACGAGUUAAAAGUCUAUCGUGGAAAUGAAAAAAAGGGGUCUCCCCUCCAUUUUAAGCUGACCCCAGCCGGGGCUGGCUUCUGGCAUAAAUGCCACUAGGUCAUCUAUGAUUUGCAUCUACAAGAAUGAAGGAAAAAAGAUUAGAAAACUAAAAAGAAAGCCAGGGCGUCCGGUUGAUGAAGUCUACCUGUGUAAUGUCAGGCUGAAAAAGAGGGGAUAGCAUUAGCGAGUCGGGAACUUUCACUGCAACUGAAGAGGCUCACACCUUACACAUGAAAGGUCUCAUUCAUGUUGAUUGAGGAGUUUCUUACUUACCGCUAAACCUACUCCUUCUGAGAAUGGUUUUACCCCGCUCCUCAAUCUUAUUCUGUUUCUGAUCCUACUUCAGAUUAUCUUUUAGUUGUGGAAACAAGCCCUUAUUCCUAUCGGUUGAGUAGCCCAAGCCUCUAUGCCUUGUAUGAAGGAGCAUCCACUGCGCCUACUAGUGGGUAUGAUUAAAGUAAAGAGCGGGUCUCUCAGAAAAUAGUACUUUAUCUGUAUCUGUCUCAGCCUCCCCUAUCACCAACCUGUACCUUCUUUCAAUGCACCAUUUAAGGCCAGAAAGCACCUUAUUCCUCCACCAGCUUCUUCUUGGCAUCAAGCCAGCCCUUAUUCCUUGCAUCAACAGGCAAUCCCGCAUAAAAGAAAGGCUACUGACUUGGCUGAUUCAACAAGGGAAAAAGGCAUCCAUUCAAACUGCUCCCAUUCCUAUGUUGACACCAAGAGAAACAAACCCUGGAGCCUUCCUCUCUAUCCAUUCCUUUUUCAUAAUCAUAAAGGAUGGAAAUGCUUAGCUUACUAAACCAGCAACAGCGGAGUAAGCUCCCAUAUCCGUGAAGGACUGCUUUCCAGCAGAGGAAAACUUCUCGCCUUUCUUAUUAUAAAGUUAGUUAUUAGAAAGUUUUCUGAUGAGCAAACUCUUUUUCUUCAGAUCCAUUUUAGUAACAAAGAAAUGUUUGAGGCCUUUUAUCUCGUCCAAGGCCUCAAACCUGAUAUCUGAGAGGAGAUGUCUUUGGGAGCUGCUAAAGAAAGUGUCUAAACGCAUUCAGGGACCAUGGUUGGUCACCAGGGACUUCAAUUGGUCCUUUCUCGAACUUUCAGGCAGAUUUUCUUUUGGGCAGUUGUUCACCGUUGGAUCUCGCCAAUACAGCCCCCUAUAGUUUUCGUUACCGAGAUAUCUUUUUUUUUUCAUUGUUCCCAGGGAUUUUUUGGGGAAUCUGCUCCCAUGCUGCAAACAGUCAAAUCUGAACUGAACCCUGUCGCUCUUCUUUCUUUCCUCGCCAUUGUUCCUAGGGAUCUUUUGGUGAAUCUACUCCCAUGUUGCAAACAAUCAAAUCGUAACUGAAUCCUGUUGCUCUUCUUUCUUUCCUUGCGAGCAGGAAGCACACCAGCAGCGUGCAUUGCGUGAUUCUAUUGUAUUUUUUGCACUUGAAUGGGUGGACAGUUGACUGGAAGAUAACUUCGAUUCGCCCGACCAGCAGGCGGGCGGCGUACCUAUCUUGUGUGACAACACUACAGAGAGAGUUUCUAUUCUAGGCUAGAGCAAUCCGAACUCUGGACAAAAUAUAAAAGAGGACCUCAGGCAUAUGUAAACACCUCAACGAACUCAUGUGGACACUCCUCAACCCGAGGACAAUCUCUCAAAUACACAUGUUGAUGUUGUUAACCCGUUUUCCUUUUCUUUGCUGAUUCCUCUCAAUGAAAUUUUCCAUGUUGCACUAAGUUACCUUCUCAAUUUCUUUCACGUAAUCAAACCCGGUAAUAAGAUUUGAACAUGGAUUAAUUCCCACCGACUGGAUCUUUCAUAGAGACCAAAUUAGGAAAAGAUGCUGACACCGAACAGUUAAAGAAUUCUCCGUCGCUUCAAGAAUGCCAGCCUAUUUGCUUUGAACCAAAGCAGACGCUGCCCAUGGAGAGCUUUUUCCUUUGUGAACAUUUUUGUUCCCAUAAGACAUGACAAAAAUUGGGCUUCCAGGCGCCUUACAAUAAAGAAGCCGCGACCCCUCGGUGUCUUACACAUCUUCUUUGACCCUGCCGAAGUAGCUUUCUUUCUUCAGGUAGUGAAGUCACUCCAAUUUUUGUAUGACUUGACACUCUAACGUCUGUUUCUUUCCACUAGUUACUUAAUUGUAUUCGACUUCUAUCGCAAAUCUAUUAUAUCUGAUUAAAUCUCUUCCUAACGCCUUUAGGGGCUAUGAAGAGAGCCCAGAUCCAGGCCCUCUUUUAGAAAGAAAAAAAUUGUACAAAAAGAGGGCUUGGCAGUAGCACUCCAUCCUGAUGUUUUUCCAGAAGCUCCUUUUCCGACAGAAAGAGAAAACUUUAGCCCCAGACUGAAAGGUUGGCGUCUCAAUCUAAACCAGCCUUGUCUACCAAGAAUCGAUACAUCGAGAAGGUAGCAUGUAAAACUAGUAUGCCCUUAAUUGAGGAAGUGAAAACUCGUUUGAAAAGCUUCUAUCUGACAGGAGGAAGUACUCAACUUGUGAAUGAAAGGAAAGAUGACGCCCAUGCGAAGUCAACUUAUUUAAGAGUCCUCUUUAAUUCAGGUAACUAAUUAAGCGCAUGUAUCUACCAGCAAAAGCAAUGUAUUGAGGAAAAGGCAAGAAAAUUGAGCUAAACCUCCUUCCUUCCCUGUGGUUGACUGAUUUUUCUUCCUUUUCCGGAAUAAUAUAUUCCAAGUCUGACUUUUAAAGCAUACGCAUUGAAAAAAAAUGAAGGAGCCUCUUUUUAUGCGACACUACUAUGGUGAAGAGUGAAUCGAGACUCUUUUUAUUGAGAUUUCCAGCUGGGAAUUCUAAAUUCUCUUAGUAGAGCCUGAAAGUAGCCCUUGGAUUGAUUCCUACCACGGACGGGUAUGCAUUUCAUCCAUAUCGUCGGCCUCACAUGGACGGAGAUGCUUAUGUUUAUCAUAUCACGGCUUCUAAGAUGCAAAUACAGGGGCUACUAUUGCUACGGGAGCUUAUUGGUGGAGCAAGAAGAGCGGAGAUGGUUAAACGAGUAUCCCACACCGAAAAGGUGCCCAUAUAGGUUUUCCUCGAAACCCCCCAGUAACUAAGGUAAACAACGUAGAAAAAGCACCUAUUUCUAUACCGGUUCCGGAAGAGCGAAGAAAAAAGGGAUGUUUUGAUAAUAGGAACAAAAAAGUGUUUAUAGCCGUAACGAUAUAAACAAGAAUACUCAUCCGAGCCGCAAGAACAUGUACAUACGAAAUACGAGAAUUUCCACCCUUAUCUAAAGACACGACAUGUUGAAAUAGCUUCGGUAGUUACACUUUCUGUCUCGCGAGUGGUCCUUUCUUUUAAGAAAUCGGAGUAGAGCCAAUUUCUCGUGCUUUCUCAGUGUUCCCCCCUUUCUUUGAGUGCCUCGCCCGGUUCACUGGUGUAUCAGCUACUUGUGUCAUCACCCUGCAAAGAGGUGGAACCAACCAAAAGCAACUGUUCCAGACAGUUUUCUUUAAAAGAUGGGUUAGAUGGCGAAAGCCUGGUUUCCAAGUUCCCUCCCACUCUUUUAGCUCUGAUUGUAUACGCUCUUCUUCCAAUAGGAGUUCAACAUUCAUUCAAAGUAUUCUCCCCUUGCCAUGAUUCAAGCAGCGUAUGGGAUCACUGCACUUCGAGCUAAUGAUAUAGUAGUUAGAAACUAGUGGUAAUAAAGAGUGACAGUUCUGACACUAAGUACUGUUUGAGUACUUAUAGUGAAGUGGUAGAAGCGGUCAUGUCCUUACUUUCUCUCUUCCUUCAGUUUGCCUCCACGAACGCGCCACUUAGAAUCCCUACUCAUAUUCCAAAGGCGCUACUUCAAUUCAAGCGCAAGCAUCAACUAUGUUCCUGUGGGCUUUUGAGGAGCAGGAGAAAUUGUUUGAAUUCUAUGAAAGAGUCUCAAAACUAAAAAUCUUUCUUAAGAACCUAGGCGACUUGCUUUAAAGCGGCGCUUUCGGGAUUUAGCGAGAACAACUAUAAUUGAAUCGGGAAUGGAAAGACUUCACUUCAACUCAAUAAAUGACGUCUACUUCAUAAGGAAGCGAGGUACUAAGUUUAGCGUCGAUAAGGCAAGUAGUGGAUCUUUAUUAUCGAAUGAUAUGGGAGGGAUCAUCACUGUCCAUAUGCCGCCCAAGGGUAUGAAAGGAAAGAGACGCUAUCUCUAUGAUUUUAUCCUUCGCGUAUCGGCCCCAUACUUCUUUGAUCUCCCUUUCUCCUGACGUAUGAAAGUAACACAGGCUUGGCCAGCGUUUUUCAAACUUGAUGGUCAAGUUCACUGCUACUUCAGUAAAUACGCCUUGGAUGGGCCUAACAACACUGUACCUGGAAGCACUUUUGUUUUCAACCGCCAGAUGGUAAAGGAAGGCUCCAUCCCUCCUUUCUCUUGCAAUCAUAAUAGCCGCACAGUCGAAUAUCAAGAAGACAAUUCCAUCCGAAACUUCACCUAUCGCAGAAUUUUUGGAGAUGGUCACGUCAGCGGCGGAAAGUGGAUCAUUCAUGCGUAGACUUAACUGCAAAAGAAAGAUUCAUGGGUAGAAGAUUUCUAAGUCAUUGAAGCAUCACACAGAUGACAGAUACUCUUCCAGCUCUCACCUACUCUAACCUUGCCAAACUGAGAAUGCAGCAGGUGAGAUAAGGAGUAUGUGAUCAAUGCCUUGGAUCUAUUGAGUGAUGGUUUUUCAGAACCAUAUUUAUUGCUGCACCUGGACCUCCACAGCUCCCAGCAAACCAAAGGAGGCAUGACCUCCAAAAUGAGAAUGCAACAGGUGAGGUAAGGAGUAUGUGAUCAAUGCCUUGGAUCUAUUGAGUGAUAGUUUUUCAGAACCAUAUUCAUUGCUGCACCUAGACCUCCACAGCUUCCAGUCCAGCUCCUGUUUAAGUUGGAGUUUCCUAUGGAAAAGGAAAAAUUGCCUAUGCUUAAUGAGUUUCCAUACCCAGGCCUAAGCGUGAACCUAUCCAAUUUCAAAGGGACUACGAGUCACCUUCUCUGAGCAAUAUUCUAUUUUUCAGAGAGAAGAAUGUACUAGAUCGGCUAAUGCUCCCAGGUUGACGCAAUGUAUUCGUGAUCAUAAGUGGUUGUUAAAAAAGGUCUGUUUUCGAAAUGGAGAUUCCUUUCCCCUAUGGUUGUAGGAACAAUCCUCACCGCCCUUUCAAUUCUAUCCAUAAGUCUCUAUGGAAGAAGCCAAUUAAAUAAAAGAAAGAAAAGAUUGACCGUCAAGUUUGAAAAAAGCUGGCCAAGCCCAUGGUUGAAGAAUGAGGCGAUCAAGAAAGCCGUGGGCCUCGUAGUACCCGCAUACGACAACUCUAUGGAGUUUUUGGGGUCGAAAGCCUAUUCGACGUCAGAACCAGAAAGGCCUUAUCUCAGCGAAUAGAAGAUACUCAGCUCCGCACAACAUAGGGAUUAGCACACUUUCGGGAAGCACAGGGAGGAGUGCGGGACGAACUCAUGCUGGAAAAACUCGUCGACGCCAUCAAGUAUCUUACAGAAUGAAAGCGAGACUGGACCUAGAUUCGCGUAUGUAAGUGAAAAUGAAAAGAAAUGAGUUCCCCCUCCCCUUCUCCUUUCUUGUAUAGAAGGGGAAGAGGAGCUCAAACAAGGUUCAAAGAUCCCCUCCCCAAAGUAUGGUUUAAAGAAAGCCUUUCGGUUUAGUGAGGAACAUGAUAGUGAAAGGAAGAAGAAAGGAAAUCAGUUUAUAGUGGCUUACCUUCGUACAUUCAAGAACAAUUGUGACUCCUUGGCAUCUAUCAAUGCACCGGUGCCCCAAUCUGAAAGCAUGGGAGAAAAAAAGACGCACAAACGAAAAAGGGCAAAAACAGGACGAAGUAAUUUCAUAUAUAAAAUGAGCGGUACACUGAACACGAACCCAAUAUCAAAGAACUUCGGGGGACUUGACUCCACCAAAAGGUUCUUUCUCUCACGUAUUUUCCCUCGUCCCCUUUUUUGAGGAAUUGAGAAAGAAAAGGGUAAAUCUAGGAUUCAAAGUCAUCGGGUUCUGCUAUUCAUAUGCCAGCAGUACUGAUCCUCCCUAGUUCAAUCAGAAUCGAGAACUGCGGAGAUGUCCUAACCGGCCUAGCCUAACCGUCUCUUUCUUUUCUAAUCCCUCCCCCUUCAUUCCUCGAUCCUCCAUAUCUCUUGGAUAAUUAAUUCCCCUCUUUCAAUUCAUGGAAAGCACGGUCGAAAAGACGACCUUUCUCGCUGGGCGAGCGCAUCCAAUUCUAAAGUCCUUUCUUAUUCUUAAACCACUUCCCGUUCAGUUGCUGAAAGGUGGUGAUCCCUAGAUUCAGACUCAAACUCCGAAAGCUGACCUGCCAAUAGACAUUGUUGGAGAAUACUCUUCACCAUUAUCAGAGGCUUCCCUUCCCUUACUCUAGGGCUUUUCUUCUCUUCUUCUCUAAGGACAGUGAAAGUCACCUGAUACAGGGCUUUCUCCUGUAAUCUGUCUCUCGAUAAGAAGCUUUCUUUUGAUCCGGGUUAAUCUCGUCUUCUUGAAGAAUUACGGAUUCCUAAACCUAGUAAGGGAAAGCGAUUCUACUCCAAUUGCAUUCAUCAGUCGGAUGAGAGUGAGAAUAGAAAGGAAGCCGGGAGGAAGAAUGGAGUAUAGCAUUACCUCUAGAGUACAACCCGGAGCCUUCAAUUUCUUUCCUAGUAAGGGAAAGCGAUUCUACUCCAAUUUUAUUCAUCAGCCGGAUGAGACUGAGAAUAGAAAGGAAUAUGCCAACUCCUUUCCAGUUCCCAAUAUUUCUUUGCUGAAUCACUUGUUGUCACUGUUAAGAUAGAAGGCCUGGAUUCCUCUGUUGGUUGUACAGUAAUUUGUCUGAGAAGAGAUGUUUGGGCGCACCGAUUUCUAGAUAUUACAGAUAGUGGAGGAUGCCUGGCUCUGACGAGUGCCAUCUCUUUCGAUCUAGCUCAAAUACCUAUUUAAGGUAUUUUCAUAAAGCGCAGCCUCCCUAGUAGGGUGGCUAAUGAGUAGGCCGCGGAUUUAUGACCUCCAAGCCAGAACUAUAUGGGGGGAUACCAAAUCAUAUAUGGGUUGAAGCAUUCACUACUACAGUGUAUUUAAUCAACAAAUUGCCAUUUUCUGUUAUCAGCAUGCAAUCUCCCUUUUCUUCUCUUUAUGGUCGUGAUACUUUUCAGGGGGAGAUCACUACCCUUUCUGAGACGUCUGACUAGUUUACUUUAAAUCAAUCUUCAGAGCAAAGUUCCGAUAGUACAGUUCAAGGUGCCAAUAAUUCAUCUUCAAAAAUCAUCCUAUCUCUGUUUGCCGCCUCCAGCGAGCACUUUAUGGCCUUAAACAAGCACCCAACGUAUACAAAGGGCUAUUGAAGAAAAGUUUUGUACUCAAUUAGUUACUCAGUCCCUCUAGCCGGGUGGGCGCCGGCCGGUUUUUCGACCAGAUCCCCCUAAAAACCAUACGUGCGGGUCUCCCCGCAUGUGGCUCAUGCCAUUCGAGGUGGCCCAUCCCAACAUUCAUUGGCAAAUCCUGUAGUGAAAUUGAGACUGCUCAACCUCGGAAAAAAUCUUACUACUCAGGAUAGUAAAUAAGAAAGAUUCAUCUAAAAUUGAGUGGAUAGGCAACGGGAGGAUGGGGGGAAGAAUAAAGACAAAAUGAAAGCAGGAAUGCCCCACCCCAUCCAAGAGCGCUUAUGUCAUAGGGGAACUCAUGGUUGGAAACAAUCCGUAUGGUUUGUUUUGAUAUCCGGUAGGAAUAAUAAAAAAAAAAGUCGAGGUUGGUUGGUGAGCCUAGUGAUAUGAGACUAUCUAGCUUGGUUCGGAUAGCACUUGUUGGGUUAAUUAUUUAUUUGUUGCUAAAUGUUACAGCCUAAAUAAAAGCACAUAAAAUGUGUAUAGAAGCACAAGGGAUGGAGCCUAGUGAUAUGACCCUACUUGUUUGGAUGGGUGUAGUUUGGAGGGAUCAUCAUAAAUGAUUAAAGUGUGUCGUUCAUGAUACAUAAAAUAUUCAGACAGAGCUGCUCCUGUAUAAGGAGGCUCUCUCAUGUCCAGUUUUGAUGUCUAACUAACUAACUUACAACAUAGGCCCGAAGAGAGAUAUUCAGGAAACCCGAUUUUCCGGCUUGGUCUCGCUCCCUUCCCGCACUAUUCCUCCCCACUAAAAAGAGCGGUUGAGAAUCUCGAGAACCUUUCUGAAGGUCUGUCUUCGCGGGGCAAUUGGAGCACCCCCUAUGCUAUGAUACUUGGACUAGGGGCCUCCUUCCCUUGUGCCUUUAUACACAUGGAAGUACCUUUUUCUUAUCAAUUCGCCUUCAUAACAAAAUAGUAAAUUUGGUGACUACUAUUUUAGAGUUCACCCUCUCAUCCCAAACUUACCCUUUUUCCAUGGAAGCCCUCCCCUCACUUUAUUGUUCUUCAUGAGUGGGAAGAAAUCAAAAUCUUUAUCAUCCAAUACCAAUCCGAGAACAAUAGGCUAAGCAUGCAGCCUAGCCGCUUCACUCGUCAAAAAUAGGCUCAGAUGGAAAAUUGGAUUCAGCUGGCUAAUUACUUGAUGACCCGGUAGAGAAUGGGAACAGAGAGUCGCUCCCAUAAACAAAUUAAUGGGACUCCUUCUCUAUGUAUCGAUUCUUGGUAUACAAGGCUGGUUUAGAUCGGUACGCCCAUAUUUCGGUCCUGGUUGAAGUUUUUUCUUUCUGUCGGAAAACGAGCUUCUGGCAAAACAUCGGGAGGCUUCUAAAGUUCGCUCUUGUCAAAUUCUCCAAAAUCUCAUCAACAUGUCUGAGGGAUGAUGAAGGCGAUGCCACAAUUGAGGGAACCACCUCUUACUCUUUUUUAGAUAAGAAUGCGAAACACCCUGACCCUGUCAACCAAGCCCACUCAGAUAGACUAAGUAGACUAAAAAAAAUGCACAAGAAAGUUCAUGACUCAAUGGAUCAUCUUAGACAAGAUGAAAUGGAGGAUUUUUCAUUGUCCCCUCCAACUGUUGGCUCCAUGCAGAUUCAUUUGAUUAUCAGAGGCAAAUUGAAAGUUACGCAGUGGAAUAUCCACUAAUCGGUGUUUCCAGAUACGGUUGCCGGUUGGCAUCUCUAUUAAAUUUUUCUAAACUAGCAAAAUCGUGGGACAUCAAAAGCGUUAAGUUGAUUGUUCACUGAAAGCCUUUGGUGUAAUAAACCGCAAGCCCUUCAGAAAGAAAUGAGCUACUUAGUAGUAGAAACUCAGAGAGACAGACAUAGAGGGGACUCUUUCAUACCUGCUAACUCCUAGGUGUUUACACAUGCUUGUGGUCCUCCUUUAUAUUCUUUCGGGAGAGUCACAGAACGAACAUGGUGCGGAUAUUGGAGGUGUUGAAAAAAGUAGAAGCCUCCAUUAUAAACAUUCCUGAGGGAAAGUCUGCCUGCAAACUCAACCUCCAGACUUUGUGAAGAACGGUUUAUCUACAACAUCUGGUGGUGCCCUCGUGGGCACGUUCUUCUCUGGGGCAGUCUGGUCUAAUAGAAGUCAUCUGACUCACAUGGAAUACGGUGUUCAUUUUCACCGAGCUUGUCGCUUGAGUCAAUACGCUACCUUUCCUAUCAACUUUUCUACAAGGUCUACUUUCAGACCGGGCCAAGCCUUUAGGUUGUUUAAGUAGGCUUCGGCUAAGGUUGUUGCGCUCCUUCCACCUCUUGGAAAAGUAGGCUGAUGGGAAAGCCCCCUCCUAUCGCAAUGGUGUGGGGCGUCAUAGGCUGUUACCCCGUAGCCAACUCGAACGGGCUGAAGUUCGAUGCAGAGCUUUUUGGUUGUUUAGUUAUAGCAGGACUGAGCAACUUCCUACAGCGUAAGUCCUUCUGGUUUGCACUUGGGUUCAUAACCGGUUCAAUUGAAUUAGUUGCACAUGAGUACGGUCUUCUCGGGGUCAGGGUUGCAUAACCCUUUUAGAUCGUUCUAUUCAUGCUUGAAAAACGACCCCAUAGCUCCUUUUAAUGGACAUUUCGAUCAACAACUUGGAGGUAUGGCUAAGUGGCUUAAGGCAUUGGUUUUCUAAAUUACAUACAAGAAGAUUGUAUCAUGGGUUCGAAUCCCAUUUCCUCCGGUACGAAAAUGAAAGGGGCGGGCGAAAUUAAGUGAAAGAACGAACCUCUUGGUGGAGUCCAUUCCCCCGGAGGACAGAAUAUGACUUCUUAGUGACUUGGAGCAGAGAGCCUGUUGCACCUUGUUUUUCUUUGACCGACCUAUCUUCUUUCUAUUAGCAAGCUCCCUUCGGCCGUCCAGUCCUUGGAGGGCUCUCGGUUCUUGAUCAUGUUGAGGGAUUAGGCGGAAGUUUAAACAGCCGCUCGAAAGCUUGAUGAACAAGAGAAAAAAGCCUAUCUGUUCUAUUUUCUUAGUUUAGUAAAGGGCUUUUCCCUUACUAUUCAAGUGGGAAGGUAGGGCGCUGUUCGUUGAAGAAAACAGACUUUAGGAAAGUGGUUCAGGUAGCUUAGUUGGUUAGAGCAAAGAACUGAAAAUCCUUGUGUUAGUGGCUCAAAUCCACUUCUAAGCAGGCAAAAGGUCCAAACCAUAGCCAGAAGCGAGCUGGAUUUAUAAAUGAAAGUGAAAGAGUAAGCAAUAAAAUGUGAGCGCUCCUGCACUAUACGGAGGGCUUUUUGGCGGCAGGGUUAGGGUGGCUUGCUUGAGGCGGAUUAAAAAUAAAGGUGGAUUACUCAGAUUGGUUCUCGCAUCCGUGUGCCUAAAAGGAUGGGCGAGUUAGGUUUGAGUUUUCAUCGAUCGGGUGGAUCUAUAUGCUUCGAGGUGGUGAGACGAGGUGUAGCGCAGUCUGGCCAGUGCAUCUGUUUUGGGUACAGAGGGCCAUUUGUCCGAAUCCUGUCACCUUGAUGUGGUAGCCUUCUCCGUGGUCAGACAGUAAGGCAAACAGCGCAAAGCAUAAAGUAAAUACAUGAUGCCUCGACUAAGUAAAGUGUUUUUGCUCCUUAUUGGUAGUUUCGUAGCAGGUUGUUUCGUACGUUUUCUAGGAUCAGAUAGAAGAACCACCCCAGAAUUGAUCCUUCUUUUCUUCUUACUUUUACUAAGUCUGACUCUAGUUUCUCGUUCAACAAAAAGAAAAAGGAGUGUGAUUCUUUUAUUCCUAAUAUUUUUCAUCUCUUUCUUUUUCUAUUUUCUCCGGAUCUACUUACUUUCUCGCUUAGAUGUUCUUUUGGCUGAUCUUUUCUCUUUUGUUUUGGUUUUGAGUGUGGGGGGAGGGCAAGGACUUCCUCUUCCGGGCCCUUCAAACUCCUCAUCGGAAGAUUUAUUCGGGCUCCAGGUCCUGUCGGAGC